GACGUAGGGCGCGAGCGUUGUCCGGAUUUAUUGGGCGUAAAGAGCUCGUAGGCGGCUUGUUGCGUCAGCUGUGAAAACCCGCAGCUCAACUGUGGGCUUGCAGCUGAUACGGGCAGGCUUGAGUUCGGUAGGGGAGACUGGAAUUCCUGGUGUAGCGGUGAAAUGCGCAGAUAUCAGGAGGAACACCGGUGGCGAAGGCGCACAUCUGGCCCGAUACUGACGCUGAGGCGCGAAAGCUAGGGGAGCAAACGGG
rnacentral:rRNA from 1 species